rnacentral:rRNA from 1 species
ACGGUCCUAAGGUAGCGAAAUUCCUUGUCGGGUAAGUUCCGACCCGCACGAAAGGUGUAACGAUUUGGGCACUGUCUCAACGAGGGACCCGGUGAAAUUGAAAUACCUGUGAAGAUGCAGGUUACCCGCGACUGGACAGAAAGACCCCAUGGAGCUUCACUGCAGCUUGAGAUUGAAUCCCGGUGACAGAUGCACAGGAUAGGUGGGAGGCGCCGAAGCAUUGCCCUAGGGCGGUGCGGAGCCGAUGUUGGGAUACCACCCUUCUGUUGCUGAGAUUCUAACGCGAGGAGUAACGACCCUGCGGACCCUCUCAGGCAGGCGGUUUGACUGGGGCGGUCGCCUCCGAAAGAGUAACGGAGGCGCCCAAAGGUUCCCUCAGGCCGGACAGAAACCGGCCGAAGAGUGCAAAGGCAGAAGGGAGCUUGACUGCGAGACCAACAAGUCGAGCAGAGACGAAAGUCGGGCUUAGUGAUCCGGUGGUACUGAGUGGAAAGGCCAUCGCUCAACGGAUAAAAGCUACCCUGGGGAUAACAGGCUAAUCUCUCCCAAGAGUUCAUAUCGACGGGGAGGUUUGGCACCUCGAUGUCGGCUCAUCACAUCCUGGGGCUGAAGUAGGUCCCAAGGGUUGGGCUGUUCGCCCAUUAAAGUGGUACGCGAGCUGGGUUCAAAACGUCGUGAGACAGUUUGGUUCAUAUCCAUCGCGGGCGCAAGAAGUUUGAGAGGAGCUGCUCCUAGUACGAGAGGACCGGAGUGGACGGAUCAACGGUGUCCCAGUUGUCACGCCAGUGGCACGGCUGGAAAGCCGCAUCCGGGAAGGAUAAACGCUGAAAGCAUCUAAGCGCGAAGCCAACCUCAAGAUGAGACUUCUCAUCAGCAAUGAGUAAGACCCCUUACAGACGAUGAGGUAGAUAGGUUAUGAGUGGAAGAGCCGCAAGGCUUGGAGCGACAUAAAACUAAUAGGUCGAGGUCUUAACUUA